rnacentral:misc_RNA from 1 species
AUCGGAGAAACAUUCUCCGGCGACGGAGCCGGCCAACAUCCGACCGUGGAAUCUACGGCACCUUAUCCAACGACUCCAAUCAUGAGUCUUCCUGUAUCAGCUCAUACAUUACCCAAAAUUACGACCACAAAACUGAAUACAAAGAGAAAGGACAGAGAUAUUAUCGCGAUUUAAAGGAAAAUGAGAACAAUUUGUACUUUACUGAGUCAAAUCGGUGGAAUCGGGACCGAGUCGAUUUAGUUGAAGUUACAAGCAAAGUAGGAGAGGAUGAUGACGAGGAGAUGGAGAAUGAUGACCUGGUUGGUGACUCUGUGGACACGGCGGGCGAACUCGGGGACAACUCCUCUCCAAAUUUGCUCGAGUGUAUGGCUCGAUUGGUGAUUAAG